CAUUGGAGGGCAAGUCUGGUGCCAGCAGCCGCGGUAAUUCCAGCUCCAAUAGCGUAUAUUAAAGUUGUUGCAGUUAAGAAGCUCGUAGUUGAAUUUCUGCCUUAUCAUUAAUUUCGCUUCCGAACGUAAUUUUAUUGAUUUGGCAUCUUCUGGAUUAUAUAUUAUUUUUAAUAUAUUUUUCCAGUAUUUUACUUUGAGAAAACUAGAGUGUUUCAAACAGGCUUUUGCCUUGAAUACUACAGCAUGGAAUAAUGAAGUAGGACUAUUGGUUCUAUUUUGUUGGUUAUCGAACCAUAGUAAUGGUUAAUAGGAGCAGUUGGGGGCAUUCGUAUU
rnacentral:rRNA from 1 species